CAAUUACCGAUCAAACCGAGUGGCGGACGGGUGAGUAACACGUGGGUAACCUGCCCUUCAGCAGGGGAUAACAUUUGGAAACAGAUGCUAAUACCGUAUAACCACGGAGACCGCAUGGUCUCCGGGUAAAAGAUGGCGCAAGCUAUCACUGAAGGAUGGACCCGCGGCGUAUUAGCCAGUUGGUGGGGUAACGGCCUACCAAAGCGAUGAUACGUAGCCGACCUGAGAGGGUAAUCGGCCACAUUGGGACUGAGACACGGCCCAAACUCCUACGGGAGGCAGCAGUAGGGAAUCUUCCACAAUGGACGCAAGUCUGAUGGAGCAACGCCGCGUGAGUGAAGAAGGCUUUCGGGUCGUAAAACUCUGUUAUUGAAGAAGAACGUGUGUGACAGUAACUGGUCAUGCAGUGACGGUAUUCAAUCAGAAAGUCACGGCUAACUACGUGCCAGCAGCCGCGGUAAUACGUAGGUGGCAAGCGUUGUCCGGAUUUAUUGGGCGUAAAGCGAGUGCAGGCGGUCUUUUAAGUCUGAUGUGAAAGCCUUCGGCUUAACCGAAGAAGGGCAUCGGAAACUGGGAGACUUGAGUGCAGAAGAGGAGAGUGGAACUCCAUGUGUAGCGGUGAAAUGCGUAGAUAUAUGGAAGAACACCAGUGGCGAAGGCGGCUCUCUGGUCUGUAACUGACGCUGAGGCUCGAAAGCGUGGGUAGCAAACAGGAUUAGAUACCCUGGUAGUCCACGCCGUAAACGAUGAAUACUAAGUGUUGGANGGUUUCCGCCUUCAGUGCUGCAGCUAACGCAUUAGUAUUCCGCUGGGGAGUAACGAACGCCAGGUUGAAACUCAAAGGAACUUGAACGGGGGCCGCAACAA
rnacentral:rRNA from 1 species